CAAUAGCGUAUAUUAAAGUUGUUGCGGUUAAAAAGCUCGUAGUUGGAUUUCUGUAUUGCUAGACCGGUCCACUCUCUGAGUAGGUACCAGGCUCUGGACGUACAUUAUUUCUAGAAUACGCAUUCGCACUUCAUUGUGUGGUGCGCGCUCUAGGUCGUUUACUUUGAGGAAAUUAGAGUGUUUCAAGCAGGCGUAUGCCUUGAAUACAUUAGCAUGGAAUAAUAAAAUAUGACUUCGGCCUUAUUUUGUUGGUUUUUAGGGCUGAAGUAAUGACAAAUAGGAACAGUCGGGGGCAUUCGUAUUUAGCUGUCAGAGGUGAAAUUCUUGGAUUUGCUAAAGACGAACUACUGCGAAAGCAUUUGCCAAGGAUGUUUUCAUUGAUCAAGAACGAAAGUUAGGGAUCGAAGAUGAUCAGAUACCAU
rnacentral:rRNA from 1 species